rnacentral:rRNA from 1 species
CCUACGGGUGGCAGCAGUGAGGAAUAUUGGUCAAUGUGCGUAAGCCUGAACCAGCCAAGUCGCGUGAGGGAUGAAGGUUCUAUGGAUCGUAAACCUCUUUUAUAAGGGAAUAAAGUGUGGGACGUGUCCUGUUUUGUAUGUACCUUAUGAAUAAGGAUCGGCUAACUCCGUGCAAGCAGCCGCGGUAAUACGGAGGAUCCGAGCGUUAUCCGGAUUUAGUGGGUUUAAAGGGUGCGUAGGCGGCCUUUUAAGUCAGCGGUGAAGGUCUGUGGCUCAACCAUAGAAUUGCCGUUGAAACUGGGAGGCUUGAGUAUGUUUGAGGCAGGCGGAAUGCUUGGUGUAGCGGUGAAAUGCUUAGAUAUCACGCAGAACCCCGAUUGCGAAGGCAGCCUGCCAAGCCAUGACUGACGCUGAUGCACGAAAGCGUGGGGAUCAAACAGGAUUAGAUACCCCUGUAGUC